CCAGAUAGUGGUUGAUUGCGGGAACUGAAAAUGCGAAAACGAAACCUCGGAUAAUAUAUACAGGGACAACUGUAUAUAUUGGAUCUCCGUGCCCGUCUCUGGCACUGAGGCUCUUGGAAUUUCCCAAGUGUGGAGAAUAGUAAAGCCUCAUGUUAUGUUAAUGAGGUAAUUAGACCUCUCUUUAGGGCCAGUGCUGGUGCAUAGGAAUACUAGGUGCAUUGGAAUAUCUGGUCCCAACCUCCUUGGUCAGAGGUUUUAUCAAGAAUGCCUAAGUGAAGAAGCCUUCAUAAAGUUCCAGAAGGACAGACUAGAAGAUUCCAGAGGGAAACAGACUCAUUUGAAGUAACUGAGGAAGAUAUAUCUGGAUUACCUGAAAUCCUUAACUUCAUAAUACCUGAAAGUUCCCAAGACUUGUUCCUUCAGAUGACUUGAGCCAUUUCUAUUUGAGUGGUUCUUGGCGGAAGGAAUGAAAGAGCUUCACGAUGACACAGUUCAAGAGUCACUGCAUAAAUCAGGCAGCAUGAACGAUCCCAUUAUCUAGUCAUGGAUCCCUGGCUGCAAGGAGCUUUUGCUAAAGGUAAAUCCACAAAUGCAUCAACAUUGGGAGGACCUUCUAAAAGUCAAGGCCUGAUUCUAAUUUAAGAUGAUGGGAUGUGUG